ACAUGUCUUUUUGAUUAUAAUUUAAGGUUUAAUCUGCUCAAUGAUUAUUUAAAUUGCCGCAGUAUUUUGACUGUGCAAAGGUAGCAUAAUAAUUAGUUUCUUUAUUGGGAACUGGAAUGAAUGAUUGGACGAGAAAAUUUCUGUCUCUUUAUUAUUUUAAUUGAAUUUUACUUUUAAGUUAAAAGGCUUAAAUUUUAUUAGAGGACGAGAAGACCCUAUAGAGUUUAAUUUUUAUUUAAAUAAUUAUUUUUAGUAUCUAUAUAUAUUAUUUAAAUAAAAAUUUAGUUGGGGUGACUAAAAGAUAAGAAUAACUCUUUUAAUUUUUAUCAAUUAUUUUUGAUUAUAAAAUCUUUAUUUUUAAUUUUAAAAUAAAUUACCUUAGGGAUAACAGCGUAAUUCUUUUUUAAAGUUCUUAUUAAAAGAAGAGUUUGCGACCUCGAUGUUGGAUUAAAAUUAAUUUUAGGUGUAGAAGCUUGAAAAUUAAGUCUGUUCGACUUUUAAAAUUUUACAUGAUCUGAGUUUAAACCGGUGUGAGCCAGGUUGGUUUCUAUCCUUAAUUAUAUAUUAUACU
rnacentral:rRNA from 1 species